rnacentral:tRNA from 1 species
GCCAGUUUGGCUCAGUGGAUAGAGUGUCAGUCUAUGGACUGAAGGGUCCCUGGUUCGAUUCCAGUCAAGGGCA